CAUCCAAACAGUGACUCUGCAAAUCUGAAGAUAGGCAGAUCAAACAAGACCCACAUCCCCAGAGAGAACAUGUCUCUGCCUUCAAACAUGCAGCUUAAUGACCUCAGCACUUUACGGAGAGCCCGCCAGGCAGCUCUGCAGAACAGAGUGGGAGAGAGAGAUGAAGAGGAGGAGGAAGAUCUGUCAUUAGCCUAUGCAGCAAGAGGUUUUGCCAGGUAUCCCAUGGUGGGCUACAUCUACAAAGUGAACAGCACAAGCAGUGAGGAGAUCUGGCUCUGACGGCUCCAGAUGGUGGACUGACUCUACAUGCAUGCAAGACUACUUUAACAUGAGCAGAAUCAACUCGGAUGGGACGAAAGCUGGAACCAGGAGUGACCUGUUCUUAGAGAUGGACAUCUUCAUUUAUAGACCCACUCCGAUCAUGUUUGUCUGCAAGUGGAUGCAUCAGAAUGAAGCCCAGUGAGUGUUCUACAUCACAAAUACCAUCAAUUUCAGACUAUCUGCUCCUGAUUUACAAUCAUUUGAAUGAAUUGCGCUUCAUUUUCUUUAUAUAUGUCUUCUAUCGUCAGAAAAACGCUACAGGAACAUGUUAAAAACACUAGAGUGGGUCUUCAAGUUGAUGUCUGUACCAUACAGUGAAUGCAGUACGUGAGUGUUUGCGCAUCAUGUCCUGUGUCCGUGUGCUAAAAGGGAAUGCAGCUAACUCCAGAAUGUGUCUGUAUCUGAAUGAUGCAUAAAUAUAUAAAUCUGUGUAUAUUUGUGAGCAAGCAUUGUGUCAUUUCCUGUAUAUUUGUAUGUGUACAACAGAGGACGACGAAUAAAGAAAGAAAAAAUCCAA